UAAACGUAGCCAUUACGACUUUCAGACUUAAAGCGGUUCAUUUGACAAAAACUCUCGCACACGCUGGGAUGGAAUGUUAUCAACUACAGCUUGGCUAUCAUGUUUUAUAUAAAUGAACCGUGAAACACGGCAAAAGAGCUGCAGCAGAGUCUUAUGUAUCACGGAAGAAGAAACAGAGACGUCGGUUGAAGUUUGAAAACUUCUACUGUCGUCAACAUUGGAGAAAUUACGAAAUCAAAUGACAAAGAAAAUCGACAGAGGUGAUUCUGAGAUUUUUUUGGAAUGAGUUCUCUUAUCUGUUCAGGAAUGUUAAUCAGAUCUGACAGUGACAAAGUGCGUUUCUCCAACCUCUUGUUCAUCCGUUCAGGUUAAAGCACAGAAGACAUUAGGCUAAGGUAGCGAUGGGCAACGCCUGGGCACUAGUUUUUGUUCGAAUCCGUCGUCUAGAAUUUCUCAAAGGGCCAUUAGCUUUAACUCCUUAACAAAUACUCUUUUCAGAAGAAACCGACGCUAUUUUGGAGACAGAGCUUCCUCUGUUUGUUGAUGGCACUUUCAUUCUCCCCCUCCCCUAACCUCUCAUACCUCUUCAAAGAAAUGGGACUGAAUAAAAGAAAGAAAGCAAAGAAGAAAAUUGAAAAAAAGAUUAAUUAAUUACUUUAAGUCUUGGACACACGAGAUGAAACAAUUCACACUCAGAAUUCAGCACGACAUGAAGACAAAGAAAACAAAAACCACGAAGAAUCAGGUGAGAAGAAGCGAUUCUUUCAGUGUAGGAUGUCUACUCACAAAGACUUCUUAGUUCUACCAAAUUAUACUUCUGUCAUGAUUAAUUAGUCUUUUGCUAAAGGCACGUUUAGUUUCUAGGAAAACAACAAUAAAACUAUGCAAGUACUAAUGUUUUUGGUAACAUUUUCACGUAUUUUGUCUGAGGCUGCCACCUGAUGGGUGUGUGAUUAACUAAUAACAAGAAAUUCCAUCGAAAAGUAAGGGUAAUCAGACUUAAGGAAACCGGACGCCAUAAUGCCAGCCCAGAAACGACCAGACUUCAAAAACUGGGCGCCAUUAUGGUA